CUCUGAGCAGCAGUGGCCCCCCACGCCCGUCCCCCCGCAGAGGGAGUCUCACCGCUCGGUAGGUUUUCUUCUGCCCGGCAUGUUUGGGUGCUUUGCCCGGCUCCGUCGAACUCUCCACAUGCAUGGAGUAAAUGAUGUCAAAGAAAUCUUCCACCACAGCCACGCGUUUCAGAGAGAUGCCCUCGGGCUCCGACAGUCCAUCUGCCCCCUACAACAGUGCAGUGAUAUGAGUGGUUCACUGAGAAAAUACCAGGGAUGGUCCUGGAGCUCAGCUCCUCUCAGCUCAGCAAUGCCACAGUGCGUCUGGAAUCACGGAUGUUGCACAGCACAGAGGAUGGAG
rnacentral:lncRNA from 1 species